GCCAAAGGAAUUUAUAAAUCAAUAAUUUUCAUUGAUUGUCCGGAUUUAUUUCGUAGGACUUUCGGCUCAUCAAAACUAAUAUUAUUAAUCUUAUAAAAACAGGUGUUUGGUCACGAAAUUUCGGUCGCCAUGGCUCACUAUCAACCCUAUUGCGAGGAAUUGAAGGAUUCAACUGCAACACAAAAAUUUAUUGAUCUUGUAUUCAAUUUGAUACAAGCUAUGUCUUCGCGUAUACCAAGAGAUGCUCUGUACGUGAAUGAAAAUUGCAGACGAAGAAAGGCAAUCCAGGAAUUUUUAGAAUUCCUUGCAGACUGGGAAAAGCUCGAAAAAAAAAUACCUGUGUCAAGGAGCACGUUAACUGGAUUAAAAGUAACUUUACGGGCAACACUUGAAAUUUUGGAUAUGCUGAAUGUUGCAUGUGAUUACAAGUAUUUGAUGACAGCAACCCUAUCUCAAGAUCCGUUGGAGAGAUUUUUCUCCGUCAUGAGAUAUUCGUGUGGAGGAAACGAUCACCCUGAUCCCAAAAUGUUUGCACAAGUUUAGCGAUUGGCGUCUUGUUUUUCCCUAAUACGCCCUCCGAAAGGUUGUAACGUUUCCGGCAAAGAUUUGCUGAAGAACUUACUAGGAGCAAAGGAUAUGGUAACUGGUUCAAACGAGGCUAAGCAAGCGUGGCUGGAAAGCCUCGACCAUAUACUAGAUAAUGGUGAACCAUUGAUUGAUGGUUAUGAAGACCAUGACUACAACGAGGCUGUCACCAGUGACGCGGUGCAGUCUUACAUUGCUGGGUACAUCGUCCGCAAAUUGCGAAAAAUCGUAAAAUGCAAUAAUUGUUUGAAACUCAUACAAAUGAGUCCCAAUGAGGGAAAAAUGUUAAUGAGAAACGACGUAAUCGAUAAAAUGGAUUUAUACGGCGGGUUAAUUUAUGCUAGUGACGAUCUAUUCAAUCUGACCAAAAUUAUAGAGAAAUGUGUGUUAAGAGCAAUAAGCAAAGCUUUAACCAAUAUGGAGACGAUCAGUGAAAUUACGCAAGAAUUACAAAAAGAAACAUUGAUAAAAGUUGGAUGUGCCGACCAUUCCAAACAAGUAUCAAAAAAAGUUAUCGAUAUGUACGUAGUUAUGCGAGCCCACUUUCUGGCAAAAUAUGAAAAUAAACGUUACGACGCAGCCAAAACCAAAACUAAAAUGAACAGGAAAAAUGCCAAGUUAUUGUCUUAAUUACUAGUAGUUCGCCCCGAACUAAGAACUCGUAUUCGCUGAAAACUACUGCGCACACUCAGGUUUUGAUUUCCAACUCAAUCUCACUAGUGAUACCUACUAAUACUUUAUAUACGAGAUUACCGCCACGUGGGAUGUUGACUCGACGAUCAUUGUUGCGAUAGUCGUCUCGGAUUUUUUUCCGUCAUGAGAUAUUCGUGUGGAGGAAACGAUCACCCUGAUCCCAAAAUGUUUGCACAAGUUUACCGAUUGGCGUCUCGUUUUUCCCUAAUACGCCCGGUUGUAAUGUUUCCGGCAAGGAUUUGCUGAAGAACUUACUAGGAGCGAAGGAUCUGGUAACCAUUGAUUCAUGGUUAUGAAGACCAUGAUUACAACGAGGCUGUAAACCAGUGACGCGGUUCAGUCUUACAUUGCUGGGUACAUCGUCCGCAAAUUGCGAAUAAUCGUAAAAUGCAAUAAUUGUUUAAAACUCAUACAAAUGAGUCCUAAUGAGGGAAAACUGUUAGUGAGAAACGACGUAAUCGAUAAAAUGGAUUUAUACGGCGGGUUAAUUUAUGCUAGUGACGAUCUAUUCAAUCUGACCAAAAUGAUAGAGAAAUGUAUGUUAAGAGUAAUAAGCAAAGCUUUAACCAAUAUGGAGACGAUCAGUGAAAUUACGCAAGAAUGACUAAAAGGAGCAUUGAUAAAAGUUGGAUGUGUCGACCAUUUCAAACAUAUAUUAAAAAAUGUUAUCGAUAUGUACGUGGUUAUGCGAGCCCACUUUCUGGCAAAAUAUAAAAAUAAACGUUACGCCGCAGCCAAAACCAAAACUAAAAUGAAUAGGAAAAAUGCCAAGUUAUUGUCUUAAUUACUAAUAGUUCGCCCCGAACUAAGAACUCGCAUUCGCUGAAAACUACCGCGCAGCGCGCACACUCAGGUUUUGAUUUCCAACUCAAUCUCACUAGUGAUACUUAGGUAAGUAAUACUUUAUAUACGAGAUUACCGCCAUGUGGGAUGUUGACUCGACGAUCAUUGUUGCGAUAGUCGUCUCAGCGGACGGUCUCAUAGCGAAGAGUCUCGACCAACACCUAGAGACUGGAACAAGGGUCAGAUGCAGGCAAAUUGUGACAAAACAUUCGCUGAUGUUAACAAGAAAUAACUCAAAAUGUAGUCAAUAUGAUGGGUGCUGAGAAAGGGGCGGCUACAGGGCCUGGGGCCUAGGGCGGCAAAGACUGCAAAUCCGCCACUACAUUAUAUACAUAUAUAAAAAUGUG